UGUCCCAGAAGUCUCAAGCAGUGUU
rnacentral:miRNA from 1 species